AACGAACGCUGGCGGCACGUUUUAAGCAUGCAAGUCGAAUGGCAGCAGGGGCAACUCUGUGAGAAUGGCGAACGGGUGAGUAACACGUAGGUGAUCUGCCUUGAGGAUGGGGAUAGCCUGUGGAAACACAGGGUAAUACCGAAUAAGCUGACGGGACUUUGGUUUUGUUAGUAAAGGUGCUACGGCACCACCUUGAGAGGAGCCUGCGGCUGAUUAGCUAGUUGGUGGGGUAAAGGCCUACCAAGGCAACGAUCAGUAGCCGGCCUGAGAGGGUGUACGGCCACACUGGGACUGAGACACGGCCCAGACUCCUACGGGAGGCAGCAGCUAAGAAUCUUCCGCAAUGGGCGAAAGCCUGACGGAGCGAUGCCGCGUGAUCGAUGAAGGUCGAGAGAUUGUAAAGAUCUUUUCUACAUGAGGAAUAAGUCUGGGAGGGAAUGCCUGGAUGAUGACGUUAGUGUAGGAAUAAGCCCCGGCUAAUUACGUGCCAGCCGCCGCGGUAA
rnacentral:rRNA from 1 species